ACUCAAAUGAAUUGACGGGGACCCGCACAAGCGGUGGAUUAUGUGGAUUAAUUCGAUGCAACGCGAAAAACCUUACCUACCCUUGACAUGCCGAGAAUCCCGAAGAGAUUUGGGAGUGCCCGAAAGGGAACUUGGACACAGGUGCUGCAUGGCUGUCGUCAGCUCGUGUCGUGAGAUGUUGGGUUAAGUCCCGCAACGAGCGCAACCCUUGUCAUUAAUUGCCAUCAUUUAGUUGGGCACUUUAAUGAGACUGCCGGUGAUAAACCGGAGGAAGGUGGGGAUGACGUCAAGUCCUCAUGGCCCUUAUGGGUAGGGCUUCACACGUAAUACAAUGGUCGGUACAGAGGGUUGCCAACCCGCGAGGGGGAGCCAAUCUCAGAAAGCCGAUCGUAGUCCGGAUUGUUCUCUGCAACUCGAGAGCAUGAAGUCGGAAUCGCUAGUAAUCGCGGAUCAGCAUGUCGCGGUGAAUACGUUCCCGGGUCUUGUACACACCGCCCGU
rnacentral:rRNA from 1 species